UUUUUGGCUUUUUAGGGCCUUUCCCACGGCAUAUGGGAGUUUGCAGGCCAGGGGCCGAAUCGGAGCCACAGCUGCCGGCCUACACCACAGCCAAAGCAGCACGGAAUCCUAGCCGUCUGCGACCUACACCACAGCUCAUGGCAACAACAGAUCCUUAACCCACUGAGCGAGGCCAGGAAUAGAAUCUGCAUCCUCGUGGAUACCGGUCGAGUUCGUACCCACGGAGCCACAGUGGGAACUCCAAAACCUUCAUUAUUCAAACCCUUAUUCGCUAGCUGCCUCCGACCAGACGAGCCUGCCUUCUGAUCUAAGCAGAGGCAUCCAACUACAAAAAGGACUCAGCCUUGAGGGUGGGCAAGGACCUGGUCUUUUUCCCAGACCCACUCUCGUCAGCAGCUCAAUCAAUGCUCACCAGGGCCUAUUAUGCAGCAGGCACUUCAACUAAUAAUGGGAAGCCAUUAAAAGCUUUUAAGACGUUGAACUGCAGGAUCUAGUUUGCCGUUUUAAAAGCCAGGAGGAAGGCAGGAGUCUGCUGCUGGUGGAUGCUCUCGGGAGGGAGUCCUGGCACCAGUGAUGUCAGGUCCUACUGCUGGACCCAAAGGGAUAGAGCAGCGUCAUCAGGGGUCAGGGGUGCCUGCAAGCACUCAGGGAUAAAAUGCGAACGCCGCUACGUGCUCUCCUAGCCUCGGCUGCAUGGACCAGCUGCAUGGACCAAGUGCUGAACCGGUGAUCUCCCCUUCCCUUUAAAAAAAAAACCUUUGCAUUUCCUUUUUGAUGGGAUAAGAAUGUGGGGAAUGUCUUUAGCUGAGAAAGUAUGUAUGGAUUGUCCAGGGAGAUGACAAGGAAGAGACACGCCUCUGGCCAACCUCCAGGCACGGGGAGAGGCCCAGGUCAGCCAGGAACUCGGCACCGAGCGGGGCCAGGGGGCGGCCUCCAAGCUCCCCUUCUCCCUGGAGGGCUCUUUCUAGGAGGCCGCGACCUCCUGAGUGUCCCUGCAAGGUGGAGGAGCAGAAUGCCAGCACUCUGGGCAGCACCGCCUGCCUGCGGGAGAAGCCCCAGGUCCCCACCGAGGUGUCCUCUGAGCAAGAACCCAGCUGGGACAGUCUGGCCCGGCCUCACAGGUUUUUCUCAGGCCAAAUGUGAUUGAGUGUUUUAUAAAAAGCAGCGAUACACUGCAAGGACAGGCGUGAUCGCUCUUUGAAAUCUCUAGAUGGGAAGAUAGGCUCAGGGACCCCAAGGCUGCCCCCGGCCCGGCGGGCGCAUCGUUACUUAAGUGGGACUAUGGGAUAAACGCGUCACCAUAAAUGCCGGAAGGGACCUCUGUCCCUACAGCUGCUCUCCCAUAAAUACCAGAGACUUUCCACACGGAGGCCCUUUUCUUUUUCCACUUUCCUUUGGAAAAACAGGAAAAGCCAGGCAUCCAGCAAGCGGAUAACUGGUGUACUCUCAGUCACGCUAACUAGAAUGUUCUCCAGCGGCCCCAGGCCCAGGACACUGCGUGUGCACAGGGCUCUCUGAAAUGCCACUCCGAUCUUGUCCCUUGUUCACAACUCCCCACGGCUCCCCUCCGCCCUCGGGAUAAAGUCCGAGCUCCUCACUGGGACGGCCCUUGGCUACCUGACCCCACGUGGAUCCCUCCAACUCCGCCCUCCAAGCACAAGUCCUUUCUCUCCCCAAAAUAAAUACUGAAUCUGUCCUCUUCCCUCCUUGUCU
rnacentral:lncRNA from 1 species